rnacentral:rRNA from 1 species
GAGUUUGAUCCUGGUUCAGGAUGAACGCUAGCGAUAGGCUUAACACAUGCAAGUCGAGGGGCAGCACUGGCGAUCGGCGACGAUUUCCUGGUGGCGACCGGCGCACGGGUGAGUAACACGUAUGCAACCUACCCCUUACCGGGGGAUAACCCGGGGAAAUCCGGGCUAAUACCCCAUGACACGUCUUGAUCGCAUGAUCUGGUCGUUAAAGGUUCACCGGUUCGGGAUGGGCAUGCGUUCCAUUAGCUCGUUGGUGGGGUAACGGCCCACCAAGGCCACGAUGGAUAGGGGAACUGAGAGGUUCAUCCCCCACACUGGAACUGAGACACGGUCCAGACUCCUACGGGAGGCAGCAGUGAGGAAUCUUGGUCAAUGGAGGGAACUCUGAACCAGCCACGUCGCGUGAAGGAGGAAGGCCUUACGGGUCGUAAACUUCUUUUUCGGGGGAAUAAACGGGGUCACGCGUGGCCCCCUGCAUGUACCCCGCGAACAAGG